AGUGGAAUAGCUGGGUCAAAUGGUAGUUCCAUUCAAGUUUUCUGAGGGCUCUCCGAACUGCUUUCCAUAAUGAUUGUACCAAUUUGCAAUCCCACCAGCAAU
rnacentral:pre_miRNA from 1 species